rnacentral:lncRNA from 10 species
AAUGUCUUCUUUUGAGAAGUGUCUGUUCAUAUCCUUUGCCCACUUUUUCAUGGGGUUGUUUGUUUUUUUCUUGUAAAUUUGUUUGAGUUCAUUGUAGAUUCUGGAUAUUAGCCCUUUGUCAGAUGAGUAGGUUGUGAAAAUUUUCUCCCAUUCUGUAGGUUGUCUGUUCACUCUGAUGGUAGUUUCUUAGAAAAUACCCACUUUAAAUAAGGACAUUUUAGUUGCCAUUUUCCUUGCAUUCUAUUAUCAAAAGGAGCUUGUUGCAAAAGACUUCCAGAUAUUACUGAACGAUGUCUCACUAUUGUAACUCGGUGCAAAUG